rnacentral:rRNA from 1 species
GAUCAAGUGAAAGAAGGGCAUUUGGUGGAUGCCUUGGCAUGCACAGGCGAUGAAGGACGUGAUACGCUG